rnacentral:tRNA from 1 species
CGUUCUAUGGCUGAACUGGUGAAGGCAUCGCCAAUUACAGGCAAAGAUGCGGGUUCGAGUCUCGCUGGAACGG